CCAGCUACCGCGGUCACACGAUUAGCCCUAGCUAAUAGAGAUCGGCGUAGAGGGUGUUUAAGAUCUAACACAAUAAAGCUAAACUCCAUCUAAACUGUAAAACCCUAGCUAAUGUAAAAUAAACUACGAAAGUGGCUUUAAAACUUCUGAACACACAAUAGCCAAGACCCAAACUGGGAUUAGACACCCUACUAUGCUUGGCCCUAAACCUCAGUAGUUAAAUAACAAAACUACUCGCCAGAAUACUACAAGCAACAGCUUAAAACUCAAAGGACUUGACGGUGCUUUACACCCCCUAGAGGAGCCUGUUCCGUAAUCGAUAAACCCCGAUCCACCCCACCCUCUCUUGCUCAGCCUAUAUACCGCCAUCUUCAGCAAACCCUGAUAAAGGCCACAAAGUGAGCGCAAACGCCACCACCGCGAAGACGUUAGGUC
rnacentral:rRNA from 1 species